UACGUAGGGGCCAAGCGUUGUCCGGAUUUAUUGGGCGUAAAGAGUUCGUAGGUGGUUCGUUAAGUCUGAUGUUAAAGACUGGGGCUCAACCCUGGAAGUGCAUUGGAUACUGGCGGACUUGAGUGUGGUAGAGGCAAUCGGAAUUCCAGGUGUAGCGGUGAAAUGCGUAGAUAUCUGGAGGAACACCGGUGGCGAAGGCGGAUCUCUGGGCCAUUACUGACGCUGAGGAGCGAAAGCGUGGGGAGCGAACAGG
rnacentral:rRNA from 1 species